rnacentral:rRNA from 1 species
AGAGUUUGAUCCUGGCUCAGGACGAACGUUGGCGGUGCGCUUAAUGCAUGCAAGUCGAGGGAGAACCUUUCGAUCCGUAAGGACCGGAUGGGGAAACCGGCGAACGGGUGCGUAACACGUGAGGAACCUGCCCCGAAGACCGGGAUAGCCCGAGGAAACUCGGAUUAAUACCGGAUACCCUCCUCGGACCACAUGGUCUGUUGAGGAAAUGGUCCGCCGCUUCGGGAUGGCCUCGCGGCCUAUCAGCUUGUUGGUGAGGUAAUGGCUCACCAAGGCAAAGACGGGUAGCUGGUCUGAGAGGACGAUCAGCCACACUGGGACUGAGACACGGCCCAGACUCCUACGGGAGGCAGCAGCAGGGAAUAUUGCACAAUGGGCGAAAGCCUGAUGCAGCGACACCGCGUGCGGGAUGAAGGCCCUCGGGUUGUAAACCGCUUUCAGGAGGGACGAAAAUGACGGUACCUCCAGAAGAAGGCCCGGCCAACUACGUGCCAGCAGCCGCGGUAAUACGUAGGGGCCAAACGUUGUCCGGAUUUAUUGGGCGUAAAGGGCUCGUAGGCGGUUCAACAAGUCGAUCGUGAAAGCCCGGGGCUCAACCCCGGGACGCCGGUCGAAACUGUUGUGACUAGGGUCCGGUAGAGGUGAGUGGAAUUCUCGGUGUAGCGGUGGAAUGCGCAAAUAUCCAGAGGAACACCAGUU